rnacentral:rRNA from 1 species
AUUGAACGCUGGCGGCAGGCCUAACACAUGCAAGUCGAGCGGAUGAAGGGAGCUUGCUCCUGGAUUCAGCGGCGGACGGGUGAGUAAUGCCUAGGAAUCUGCCUGGUAGUGGGGGAUAACGUCCGGAAACGGGCGCUAAUACCGCAUACGUCCUGAGGGAGAAAGUCGGGGAUCUUCGGACCUCACGCUAUCAGAUGAGCCUAGGUCGGAUUAGCUAGUUGGUGGGGUAAAGGCCUACCAAGGCGACGAUCCGUAACUGGUCUGAGAGGAUGAUCAGUCACACUGGAACUGAGACACGGUCCAGACUCCUACGGGAGGCAGCAGUGGGGAAUAUUGGACAAUGGGCGAAAGCCUGAUCCAGCCAUGCCGCGUGUGUGAAGAAGGUCUUCGGAUUGUAAAGCACUUUAAGUUGGGAGGAAGGGCAGUAAGUUAAUACCUUGCUGUUUUGACGUUACCAACAGAAUAAGCACCGGCUAACUUCGUG